ensembl:lncRNA
CUCCGCUAAAACUGAUCGUGCAGACCAAACCGUAAGGCCUAGAGACUUGAAACUUGGCCAGAUUGUAGAGCUCAAUUUGGGGAGAACCUAUCAAAGUCUCGCCCCAAUCGGCCUAACGGGGGCGCUACAGCGCAAAAAACUAAAAUUUCAGACAUUUUUGGCCCUCAGUCGUAAACCGUUUGACGUAGACUCAAAAACUUUACAUCGUUGUAAUCCUUGGGUCAGUCCGAACAAAAGUGGAGUCCGAAAUUUUUGCUCUACGACGCACGGUUUUUCCGCAAAAUUGUGUUAUAUCCGAAACCUACUUUUGCGAACUAGUCCUAGGAUUUUCAACCGAUCGGAACCAAACCACUGC